AUAUCAAUAAGCGGAGGAAAAGAAACUAACAAGGAUUCCCCUAGUAACUGCGAGUGAAGCGGGAUGAGCUCAAAUUUAAAAUCUGGCGGCUUUGUCGUCCGAGUCGUAAUCUGGAGAAGCGUUUUCCGCGUCGGACCGUGUACAAGUCUCUUGGAACAGAGCGUCAUAGAGGGUGAGAAUCCCGUCCAUGACACGGACCGCCGAUGCUUUGUGAUACGCUCUCGAAGAGUCGAGUUGUUUGGGAAUGCAGCUCAAAACGGGUGGUAAAUUCCAUCUAAAGCUAAAUAUUGGCGAGAGACCGAUAGCGAACAAGUACCGUGAGGGAAAGAUGAAAAGCACUUUGGAAAGAGAGUUAAACAGUACGUGAAAUUGUUGAAAGGGAAACGCUUGAAGUCAGUCGCGUCGUCCGGGACUCAGCCUUGCUUCUGCUCGGUGUACUUUCCGGUUGACGGGCCAACAUCGAUUUCGGUCGGCGGACAGGGGCGAGAGGAAGGUGGCACCUCCGGGUGUGUUAUAGCCUCUCGUCGUAUACGUCGGCCGGGAUCGAGGACCGCAGCACGCCUUUAUUGGCCGGGGUUCGCCCACGUAACGUGCUUAGGAUGUUGGCAUAAUGGCUUUAAGCGA
rnacentral:rRNA from 1 species